rnacentral:rRNA from 1 species
AUGGAAGGAAUCCUGGUGAGUGCCGCCACGGGGGUCCUGAAAUCCCUCCUCUGCAAGCUCGCCGCACUCCUGGAGGGGGAGUACAGGGUGCACAAGGGCCUGAGGCGCGACAUCGCCUUCCUCAAGGAUGAGCUGAGCAGCAUGAAUGCUCUCCUGGAGAAGCUGGCCGAGGCGGAGGCUCUCGACACGCAGCUCAAGGAGUGGAGGGACCAAGUGAGGGAGAUGGCCUAUGAGAUUGAGGAUUACAUCGACAAGUACAUGAAUCACCACACCCACCGUGAUCCGGACAAGCCUAACGCUGUCAUGGAGCUCUUUUGGAAGGGCGUCAGCAAGGUGAAAAACUUUGGAGCUCACCAUGAGAUGGCAGUGCAAAUCAAAGAACUCAAGUCCCGCAUCAUCGAGGCAAGUCAGCGCCGUGACAGGUACAAGCUUGAUGCGAUGGUCUGUUCUGCUAGCUCCAAUGCUGUGCGCACAGACCCUCGGUUGCCUGCCCUCUUUGUGCAGGGAGCCAGCCUUGUUGGGAUUGAAGGUCCAAAGGAUGAGUUAAUUAAGUUGGUCACGGAUGAGGAGGUCUCACUGAAGGUUAUUUCUCUCAUAGGUUUUGGAGGGUCAGGGAAGACAACUCUUGCUAAUCAAGUAUACCAAAAAACUGGCAAACUGUUCAAUUGCCAAGCUUUUGUGUCGGUGUCACAAAAUCCUGACAUAAGAAAGAUUUUGCGGUCCGUGCUCUCGCAAAUAAGAAAGGAAGACUCUCCCAUUUCUCGAUCGAGUGAUGAGGAGUGGCUCAUCAACUCAAUGAGAGAUUUCUUGAAGGACAAGAGGUAUCUUAUAGUAAUUGAUGAUAUAUGGAGUAUCCAAGCGUGGAAGACUAUCAAGUGUGCCUUGCUUGAAAAUUCCUGUGGUAGUAGAAUAAUAGUGACAACACGAAAUGCCAGUGUUGCCAAGUCAUGUUGCUUCCCUCGCCUUGACCUUGCAUAUGAAUUAAGGCCUCUGACUGAAGCUGAUUCGAAAAUCUUGUUCUUUACACGAGUUUUUGGCUCUGGAAAAAUGCCCACUUCACCUGAAUGA